AGCACAGUCAGAAACUAAUGCUGCAAACUACCGGCCAUCACCAAGGCUUGGUGACGACACCUUCCCCUGUCCGUGCGCACUGCACGGAGUGUUUGCCUUGGCACUCAGCUAGAACCAUAAAAUACCCAUUAAAGAGGGUCACAAGCAUCGUGCCUUUGCAGUCCACAUCACAAAGUCUCCGAAGUACUGAGUCACUCCAAAGGCUGCCGACCCAAGUUCACUUUAUACCCAGCACAUCAUCAGCUUUCUCAGUGCUUCCAGCUGGAAAUGAUGGCAGAGAUCCAGCAGUGGGCAGCACGACCUGUUCAGGAGGAGUCGCUGUGUGUGCUAAAGAAGCACGAACCUUCACCUCUUCUGUAAAACCUGAUCUUGCUAAACAUUUGGAAUUUACUCCCGUUAUGCCUAAGCCCUUUACAGUGACAGAGAGACCAACAACAGCACCGGUGCAUACUUCACCUUCAACAAAGGGCCAAAUGAAAACAGCAGCUUCUGGGAAACUUCUGGCUACGAUUGCCCAUCCAAGGAUGUUUAUCAGCUCUCCUGCAAGUCCUGCUUCACCUGUGUCUACACGUGUUUCCCUGCUGUCAGCCACAAAACAUGACCAAAUCCAUCGAGCCCCUACUAAACUGUUGUCACAGGCCAAUGUGGGAGAAAAUGCAAAGCCAACUGAAAUCAGCACAAGUGCAAGAAAAAUAGGAACCAGUAAGUUCCUGGGAACAAGCGUGUCUCUGUCAGCCAUGUUUAACACGAGGACGCAGCAAACCCCCCCAGCAGAUCUUGGGAAUAAGGUCAAUUUAACUCUGCUACAACCACCGGUGUCUGCAGGAUCUGUUAUUGCUCUUGAGAGACAGCCUGAAUUGUCCCAGACCACAGCACAGCCUCCCUUAGCCACGACUUCUCUCUCUGCAGCUAAGAACGAUUAUCUCACCACUUCACUUCCAGACAAAAAAGUGUUUCGCCUGCUCACAUCAGCUAUCCCAUCUGACCCAAACGCGGCGCUGCCUCCAGCUGCCAGAGAGAGCGAAUCAACUGUGGUCUCUACAUCACCGGGAAAGAGUGAGGACAUGUUAGUGAAAGGAGUUGCAGCCACCACUAGCCCGCUGCCUACUCGGGCACCUGUGUCUUCAUCACAUCAGACAUCAGCAAGACGCCCUCCGGAGCAGGUAUCCCUAGAAGAAAACAUUGAACAUAAGACUGGUCAUUCCAGCCCUGGUGCCAUCGCGCGUGCUGCUGGGUCAUCUACAACAAAAGCAUUUUCUGUCUCUGCUAAUAGGAUUGUAAAUAAAGUUACUAAUCAGUCAGCUGUCUUUAAGAAAGAAGCUGUCAAUGAUGCUGAGAUGCUUCUAGCCAGAGAUCUAAUCCAGCUCCUUCCAACCUCAGAGAGCCCCGUGUAUGCUUCUCAGAGUCUGGCAGCGCUUAUGCCACAGGGGAACUCCUUGCCGGGUGUUACAAACACUGGACAACCUGAGAGGCUGUUCUCGAACACAGAGGCAGAGGCGAUGGCUAGGACAAACGAAGCCACAGAAGAAGCAGCUGAAGGGUUAGUAACUGUUCUAACGCUGCUGGAUUCGGAGCCCAGGGCACUGCUGAGCGACUCACGUCAGAGGAGGGUUUUGCAGUCAGAUGCCACCAUUCUGAAUGGCCUCGCAGUUGUGAGUGACGAUGUCUGUGGCUCCGGGAACUACACUGUGCAGAUGAGCCUGCGCCCAGCCGCAGAAGCAGGCCCUGAGACCGAAGGGUCGGCGCCUUCCCAAGAGACUUUCCUGGCUCUAAUCGCUGUGCAGAGCAAUAGCAGCCAGCCCGUGCUCCAGAUCCGGUCGUGCUGUGUGACACCUUCUGCCAGCCCAGGGGGACCCGGCGCCAUGUGCUGCCUGUUCCACAGGUCAGACACAGCGGUAGGGAUGGGUGUCUCUCGCACUCGUGGGGAAUAAAAUCUCCCUUCACCCUUUGAUUU
ensembl:lncRNA